ensembl:lncRNA
AGUCGUGUCCGACUCUGUGCGACCCCAUAGACGGCAGCCCACCAGGCUCCGUCGUCCCUGGGAUUCUCCAGGCAAGAACACUGGAGUGGGUUGCCAUUUCCUUCUCCAAUGCAUGAAAGUGAAAAGUGAAAAUGAAGUCGCUCAGUCGUGUCCGACUCUUCGCCACCCCAUGGACUGCAGCCCACCAGGCUCCUCCGACCACGGGAUUUUCCAGGAGGUCCUGCUAAGGAACACGGAACUAAUAAGCCACCACCAACCGGAAGAGUUCGGGAAAGGUCAAAAGGAGACACUACAUGUCCGACCACCUCCCAGAAUCCUUCUGUCUGGCAUCCAUCUUGGCUGAACAAGGCAUGCACCACCAGGAAGGACUAUGAGUCAGAAUGAUUGGCUAAGGGCAACCUGGAAACUAAUCACUUUACAUAAAACCUGGGACUGCAAGCCAUGUGGCAGAGCAGUUCUCCCAGGUUCCCUUACCCUACUGCUCUCCACCCAGGUGGCAUUUCCCAAUAAAAUCUCUUGCUUUGUC